ensembl:lncRNA
UGCUGGCUGACCAUUCUGAGUUUCAAGGCAACUGAAGAGUUGAUUCAAAAGAAAUGACUGGUGGUUCCCUUAAGAGGGCCAAACACUCAACAGCCAAUAAGAGAUCAUAGAACAUAGAACAACUGUCAGGUUACCAAGGAAUCAGGAGGAUUAUAAAUAAAGGGAGGAGACUGGGGAGGUCAUUCCUGCAAAGGAAACCAAGGAGAUCGAAUAUUUUCUUGUUCAAGAAGCUUGUUGAUAGCUUUUAAUCUUCUCUGUGAAAAAAUGAUGCAAAGAAGAGUCCAGAACCUCGAUUUAUUUUCUUGUCAAAUAGACAAAGGUGACAACGAACUGGGGCUUUGUACUUGUAUCUUCUUUGAUCCAGCAGAUGAGGAUGGAAAGGAACCAGGGGUUUUUAUAACUGAAAUUAUUGAAGGAGGUGCAGUUCACAAACUUGGAUGUAUCCGUGUAUUUGACCAGAUUAUUAAAAUAGGUGACAUCAAUCUAAUUGGAUUGGAUGAAGCAGAAAUCGUCUCUACUUUUAAAAAAAUGGACGAUUCUCCUUUCCAGAUUGAAAUUGGCCGCGAACCACCUGAAGUCAAGUCAGAACUUAUCGAACUCCUCGAGUUGUCAGAGGAAAGGAAGAAAUAUUUUAUGGAUUCGCUCAUAGUACAGGAAAAAAUUAGAGAUAUCACUAUUGUGAGAGGACAAGCAAGUAUUUGUAGAAGUCCAAGAGUACCAUGGUACUGGAUGGCCAGUGACCUGAAAUUUGUUAUUGGGGCACUGAAAAUAUUAAUAGAAGAAGAUCAGGGAUGUAGAAAAAACAUCCAAGCUAUCUUUGAGCAGGCUAACAUUUUUCAAGAGAAAUAUAAAGACAUGAACACAUACAAAGUAAAUAUGGAACAGAAACCUGAUGAAUCAAAUAAAGAAGGCACAUUUUUACCAUUGGCCCCAGAAGAAGAAUUAUUACUAGAACAAUUUAAAAUAAAACCUAAAGAGAUAAAAAGUGAAGAUUUAUCACCAGGGCAAUUAUUAGCCCAAGGGGAUUUCAAUUCAGGUGUGAAAAAAGAGGCACAGAGAAGAUAUUCAGAUAGUUACCUUUCCAGGGGUGACUUCAUGGCUUCUGGCUCUAAAAUCAAAGCCAAAGAGACCCCAAUAAAAAAAGAAAAAGAAGAAGAUGAAAUAGUAGUGGAGGAAGAGAUUAUUAGCACUGGAAAACCUACAGAGGGAAAGGCUAAAAAGAGAUUUUCCUGGUUCAGCAAUAUCAAAGAAUGCAAGCUGUGGAACUUCUUUCAUUUUAAAAAACAUGACAAACAAGUAAAGAAUGUGCACAAGUGGGAAGAAAUUGAUCAAGAGGUAUUGGAUGAUUACUGUCCUUAUUCUACUGAAGCCCCUAAAACAUUGCCAACACAGUGGACAAAUAUUGAAGUUGGUAAUUGGUUAUGGAGCAUUGGAAUGGAGGAGUAUGUUGUAAAAUUUUAUUGUAAAGGAAUAAAUGGUGGAAAACUCCUUAUACUGGACAAUCGCUUGCUAAAAGAAAUCAAAGUCAACAGGAAGAAAGACCGCCGGAAAAUACUUAAGGCUAUUAAGAAAAUUAGAGAUUUUUUGGAAAAAAAUCAUAUUUGGUUCUUACUAUAG